CAGUGUCUUUUACUGUCGGGACGUGGACUAUGGUGCAGUUUCCUGCGUGGAUUGCUUUCCCUGGGUGCAAAACGACUUGACUGGACAUCGGAUGAAGCGUCCACUUGAAGGCCACUUCAUCAUCAGUGGAGAACGGCCGCCACUACUUCCACCCUUGCCCUUUUCUCCCUGGCAACACAGACAAACAGGAAGCAGCUGUUGCCAGGGAACCAGCCCGAAGAGCGCGACAGUGCUGGUGUAGGCUUGAUGGAGGACCACACAGGUGUCAGACCUCCAGGGUGAAGCCAUCAGACCUCCGCAGAUGAAAGGGAAGCGUUAAAUGGCACGACAAAAGGAAGCGCGAGGUUAGAGAGGGUUUCUUGUACUGAUUUAGUUUGUGCGUGGAUGCGGAGAGCUGGAUGUUCAUGGUUCUUAUGACAGACGGACAUCAAAUCUGUCACCUUGUGGACUAACAUCAGGUGGUCUUAGUCAGCGAACAUCAUGGCCCC